rnacentral:rRNA from 1 species
UGCUCGAAAGAGAGCCGUAACACAGGUGCUGCAUGGCUGUCGUCAGCUCGUGUCGUGAGAUGUUGGGUUAAGUCCCGCAACGAGCGCAACCCUUGUCAUUAGUUGCUACAUUCAGUUGGGCACUCUAAUGAGACUGCCGGUGACAAACCGGAGGAAGGUGGGGAUGACGUCAAGUCCUCAUGGCCCUUAUAGGUGGGGCUACACACGUCAUACAAUGGCUGGUACAGAGGGUUGCCAACCCGCGAGGGGGAGCCAAUCCCAUAAAGCCAGUCGUAGUCCGGAUCGCAGUCUGCAACUCGACUGCGUGAAGUCGGAAUCGCUAGUAAUCGCGGAUCAGAAUGUCGCGGUGAAUACGUUCCCGGGUCUUGUACACACCGCCCGUCACACCAUGGGAGCGGGUUCUGCCAGAAGUAGUUAGCCUAAC